GUCCCUCUCAAUCCUUUUUCCAGCAUGUGAGAAAUUCGGAGAAAUCUUCACUCUCGGGGAAGCCGCUGUCGUUUUUCCCUUUCCUCUCCGGAGGGGAGGGGGAAAAGGACGGGCGACACCCAACUUCUUCAGCCCGUGACGGCCUGGCGUGAACCUCUUUCCACGUCUGCAAUUGGCAUCAGAAAAGCAGGAGGCGCGGGUCCCGAGCCAGACGUUCCCUCCUAGCCGCAAGGCGACGUGGGGACGGCGCUCCGGCGACCGUCGGCGUUUUCCUCUGGGAGAGUCGUUGCGAAGAUUGUGUCGGGAGACACUGGAGUGCGAUACGCGGCGUUACCGACCGGGCUCGGCUCUCCCACUCGUGGGGAGAUGCCAGCCCGGGUAACAAUUCAAUUCCGAUUAUUCUGUUGAGGAC
rnacentral:RNase_P_RNA from 2 species